AUACGGAGGGGGCUAGCGUUGUUCGGAAUUACUGGGCGUAAAGCGCACGUAGGCGGAUUAAAAAGUUAGAGGUGAAAUCCCAGGGCUUAACCCUGGAACUGCCUUUAAAACUAGUCGUCUAGAGUUCGAGAGAGGUGAGUGGAAUUCCAAGUGUAGAGGUGAAAUUCGUAGAUAUUUGGAGGAACACCAGUGGCGAAGGCGGCUCACUGGCUCGAUACUGACGCUGAGGUGCGAAAGCGUGGGGAGCAAACAGAAUUAGAUACCCCGGUAGUCC
rnacentral:rRNA from 1 species